rnacentral:piRNA from 1 species
UGACAUGGUGGAUUAUCUGAACGAGUUA